AUUGAACGCUGGCGGCAGGCCUAACACAUGCAAGUCGAACGGUAACAGGAAGAAGCUUGCUUCUUUGCUGACGAGUGGCGGACGGGUGAGUAAUGUCUGGGAAACUGCCUGAUGGAGGGGGAUAACUACUGGAAACGGUAGCUAAUACCGCAUAACGUCGCAAGACCAAAAAGGGGGACCUUCGGGCCUCCUGCCAUCGUAUGUGCCCAGAUGGGAUUAGCUAGUAGGUGGGGUAACGGCUCACCUAGGCGACGAUCCCUAGCUGGUCUGAGAGGAUGACCAGCCACACUGGAAAUGAGACACGGUCCAGACUCCUACGGGAGGCGGCAGUGGGGAAUAUUGCACAAUGGGCGCAAGCCUGAUGCAGCCAUGCCGCGUGUAUGAAGAAGGCCUUCGGGUUGUAAAGUACUUUCAGCGGGGAGGAAGGGAGUAAAGUUAAUACCUUUGCGCAUUGACGUUACCCGCAGAAGAAGCACCGGCUAACUCCGUG
rnacentral:rRNA from 1 species